rnacentral:tRNA from 1 species
GGCCCGGUGGUCGAGUGGUUAGGCAGCGGACUGCAAAUCCGUCUACGUCGGUUCAAUUCCGGCCCGGGCCUCCA